rnacentral:lncRNA from 1 species
AGAAGUUGGGAUCUCGACUGACAGCUGGGAACGGAUGCCUAGGCUUUAUCCCAUGGGUGAUGGAAGAUGGGAUUCUCGGACGCGGGAGAGGGUUGUUUUCGUGAAAUCUGGGAAGAGGCUGGAGCGUGGAAGCAAGGGAUGAGUUUGGAUGACUCUGUUCUGCCUGUGGAUCAUGGAAUCAACCCGGAACGAGAGGAAGGUUGGAUUGAUCCAGAGUAGAAAAUCGUGGGAGGCAAUCGGGAUGAUUGUGGGACAUUAGGAUGCCUGAUUUUCGGAGAAGAUGAACUCUUCC